GGCGGGUCGCUCUUGUCGGCCACCCUGGAGGCCGCUGGUGUUGUCCAGUUCGUGGAGGUCUGGCGCUUUGGCCCAGCAAGAAGUUCCCAGGUAAUGCAAGUGCUGCUCAUAUGGAGAUCAUACAUUGAGAACCAAGGGCUUGAAACAACCCAGAUCUCUUUGGAGAGCUGUUCUUCACUUACUUGUCAGAGAAAAGGGAAAGAUCUCAUUUUGGCAGUGAAUAGAUGUGGUG